rnacentral:rRNA from 1 species
CUAAGCAUAUCAAUAAGCGGAGGAAAAGAAACCAACAGGGAUUGCCUCAGUAACGGCGAGUGAAGCGGCAUGAGCUCAAAUUUGAAAUCUGGCCUCCCUGGGAGGCCCGAGUUGUAAUUUGGAGAGGACGCUUCGGGUCAGGGAUCGGUCUAAUUCACUUGGAACAGUGGGUCAGAGAGGGUGAGAAUCCCGUCCAGGACCGCCUCCCGGCACCCAUGUGAAGCUCCUUCGACGAGUCGAGUUGUUUGGGAAUGCAGCUCUAAACGGGUGGUAAAUUUCAUCUAAAGCUAAAUACCGGCCAGAGACCGAUAGCGCACAAGUAGAGUGAUCGAAAGAUGAAAAGCACUUUGGAAAGAGAGUUAAACAGCAUGUGAAAUUGUUGAAAGGGAAGCGUUUGCGACCAGACGUGCGGGCGACGGUUCCCCCGGCUCCUCCGUGACCGGGUCAUUCCUGUCGCUCCCAGGCCAACAUCGGUCCGGGUGACCGGUUAAAGACCCCGGGAAUGUAUCUACCUUCGGGUCGACUUAGAGCCCGGGGUCCAAUACGGCCCCCCCGGACCGAGGUACGCGCUUCGGCUCGGAUGUUGGUGUAAUGGUCGUAAACGGCCCGUCUUGAAACACGGACCAAGGAGUCUAACAUCUAUGCGAGUGUUUGGGUGUUAAACCCCGGCGCGGAAUGAAAGUGAACGGAGGUAAGAGCCCUCCUGGAGGGUGCAUUAUCGACCGAUCCUGAUGUCUUCGGAUGGAUUUGAGUAAGAGCAUAGCUGUUGGGACCCGAAAGAUGAUGAACUAUGCCUGGAUAGGGUGAAGCCAGAGGAAACUCUGGUGGAGGCUCGCAGCGGUUCUGACGUGCAAAUCGAUCGUCAAAUUUGGGCAUAGGGGCGAAAGACUAAUCGAAUCAUCUGGUAGCUGGU